rnacentral:rRNA from 1 species
GGAUUAGAUACCCUGGUAGUCCACGCCCUAAACGAUGCUUACUCGGUGUUUGGGUCUUGAACUUGAGCACCUAAGGGAAACCAAUAAGUAAGCCACCUGGGGAGUACGUUCGCAAGAAUGAAACUCAAAGGAAUUGACGGGGGCCCGCACAAGCGGUGGAGCAUGUGGUUUAAUUCGAUGAUACGCGAGGAACCUUACCAGGGCUUAAAUGCAGAUUGACAGGUUUAGAAAUAGACUUUUCUUCGGACAAUUUGCAAGGUGCUGCAUGGUUGUCGUCAGCUCGUGCCGUGAGGUGUCAGGUUAAGUCCUAUAACGAGCGCAACCCCUAUCACUAGUUGCCAGCGAGUCAAGUCGGGGACUCUAGUGAGACUGCCGGUGCAAACCGUGAGGAAGGUGGGGAUGACGUCAAAUCAUCACGGCCCUUACGUCCUGGGCUACACACGUGCUACAAUGGUAGGGACAGAGAGCAGCCACUUCGUGAGAAGGAGCGAAUCUACAAACCCUAUCUCAGUUCGGAUCGUAGUCUGCAACUCGACUACGUGAAGCUGGAAUCGCUAGUAAUCGCAUAUCAGCCAUGAUGCGGUGAAUACGUUCCCGGGCCUUGUACACACCGCCCGUCAAGCCAUGGAAGUUGGGAGAACCUAAAGUCGAUAACCGCAAGGAGUCGCCUAAGGUUAGAUCAAUAACUAGGGCUAAGUCGUAACAAGGUAGCCGUACCGGAAGGUGCGGCUG